rnacentral:rRNA from 1 species
UCAAGGGAGACUGCCGGUGAUAAACCGGAGGAAGGUGGGGAUGACGUCAAGUCAUCAUGGCCCUUACGGCCAGGGCUACACACGUGCUACAAUGGCGCGUACAGAGGGCUGCAAGCUAGCGAUAGUGAGCGAAUCCCAAAAAGCGCGUCGUAGUCCGGAUCGGAGUCUGCAACUCGACUCCGUGAAGUCGGAAUCGCUAGUAAUCGCGAAUC